UACAGAGGUCUCAAGCGUUGUUCGGAUUCAUUGGGCGUAAAGGGUGCGUAGGCGGCGUGGUAAGUCGGGUGUGAAAUCUCGGAGCUUAACUCCGAAACUGCAUUCGAUACUGCCGUGCUUGAGGACUGGAGAGGAGACUGGAAUUCACGGUGUAGCAGUGAAAUGCGUAGAUAUCGUGAGGAAGACCAGUGGCGAAGGCGGAUCUCUGGACAGUUCCUGACGCUGAGGCGCGAAGGCCAGGGGAGCAAACGGG
rnacentral:rRNA from 1 species